AUUAUGCAUUUAGUAUUUUAACUUAGUGUUGCACUUUAAUAAUUUUAAUUGUGUUAGAUAAUUGUUUGUUGCAAUGUUGGGCUUAGCAUUUUAUUUUACUUUAAUGUUUUCAAUUAUAUUCGGUCGUGUUUAAUUUUUGCUUUUAAUUUCGUCAAUUACAUUCACAAAAUAUUUCAAAACCCCCCCACUGUGUUAGACCUGAUUCUGAACCGCAGUUGGUCCUUGGGAGACGACCUAGGGGUCAUUCCCUAGCUAUACUGCAUUUCUCAUAUGCAUUUCUCAUACUGCAUUUCUUUGAAGAUCCAUCCGCCACCACCACAGAAAGAUUAGAUGGUUUUAAUGUUAGCCCACCAACCUUUUUCAGUAAAGAUAAGGGCAUCAAGUUAAUACCAGACCCAGAAUCUAUCAAACCUCUCCUUACAUCAACAUCUCCCUGGAUCUAUAACUUCUCCAAGAUAGUACUUUAUUCUUUUGCAAUAAACAAGAAGUUGAUGAAGUACUUCAGUUGAAGGCAUAAUCUUUAUUUGGUAAAAAAUCUCUCUAGAAUGCCCACAAUUUCUUUCUUUUCUUUCUUCCCCACUCUCAUUUUCUCUUUCUUCUUCUUUUUCAAAAUCUUUUUCUCUCCUCUCCUCCUUUUCAUCCUCACUACUCUCCAACUCAAUAAUCUCUUUUUCCACUCCUCUCUCAUCUAUGCUCACCACAACUUUGUACUCUUCUUUAGGGUUGACAUCAGUGUUAGCCCUAAAUUGAUUCUUUUUCGUGGCUUCCAC
rnacentral:lncRNA from 1 species